CAGUAGCCACGGUAAUACGAAGGGUGCAAGCGUUAAUCGGAAUUACUGGGCGUAAAGUGCACGUAGGCGGCUUGGUAAGUUAGAGGUGAAAGCCCGGAGCUCAACUCCGGAAUUGCCUUUAAGACUGCCGAGCUAGUAGGUGAGAGAGGUAAGUGGAAUUCCGAGUGUAGAGGUGAAAUUCGUAGAUAUUCGGAAGAACACCAGUGGCGAAGGCGGCUUACUGGCUCAUUCUAGACGCUGAGGUGCGAAAGCGUGGGGAGCAAACAGGAUUAGAUACCCCUGUAGUCCCUGUCUCUUAUAC
rnacentral:rRNA from 1 species